rnacentral:rRNA from 1 species
UGCCUCAUACAUGCAAGUCGAACGCCCCGCAAGGGGAGUGGCGCACGGGUGAGUAACGCGUAGGUAACUGCCUUAGACUGGGGGACAACCUGAGGAAACUCGGGCUAAUACCCCAUAUUGCCGAGAGGUGAAAGAUUUAUCGGUCUAAGAUGUGCCUGCGUAUGAUUAGCUAGUUGGUAGGGUAAAAGCCUACCUAGGCGACGAUCCGUAGCUGGUCUGAGAGGACGACCAGCCACACUGGAACUGAGACACGGUCCAGACUCCUACGGGAGGCAGCAGUGGGGAAUUUUGGACAAUGGGCGAAAGCCUGAUCCAGCCAUACCGCGUGAGUGAAGAAGGCCUUCGGGUUGUAAAGCUC